GACGAACGCUGGCGGCGUGCUUAACACAUGCAAGUCGAACGGAAAGGCCCUGCUUUUGUGGGGUGCUCGAGUGGCGAACGGGUGAGUAACACGUGAGUAACCUGCCCUUGACUUUGGGAUAACUUCAGGAAACUGGGGCUAAUACCGGAUAGGAGCUCCUGCUGCAUGGUGGGGGUUGGAAAGUUUCGGCGGUUGGGGAUGGACUCGCGGCUUAUCAGCUUGUUGGUGGGGUAGUGGCUUACCAAGGCUUUGACGGGUAGCCGGCCUGAGAGGGUGACCGGCCCCAUUGGGACUGGGGAACGGCCCCGACUCCUACGGGGGGGAGCAGGGGGGGAUUAUUGACAAUGGGCGGAAGCCCUGAGCAACAACGCCGGCGGCGGGAUGACGGCCUUCGGGUUGUAAACCGCUUUCGCCUGUGACGAAGCGUGAGUGACGGUAAUGGGUAAAGAAGCACCGGCUAACUACGUG
rnacentral:rRNA from 1 species